ensembl:lncRNA
GGAGUGCUUUCUUACUAAACCUCUCAAAAGUGCUUGUAGAACCCUCUAAGGUUUGAAUGGCUACGUGCUUCUGAGAAUCCGUCUGCUUCCCCUGCUCUGUUUGAGCCUCCUAGAAGGAGCACUCGGAGUGAGACACCGCUUUGCGUGUGAGAGCGUGCUUUCCACCCCAAUGCCCGCGACGCUGAAGUCCUGAGCAAGGCGGCUGGGGCCCGGCCGGGAGCAAGGCCGCUGCAGAGAAGGUGGGCAGAGCCCCUGGAAACCGGCAAUAGCGGCCUCCUCCUCUCUCUUAAAUGAUGUCCCAGAUUUGCAGCCCACGCUGCUGACAGAGGACUUAGAACGUCACCUUCAUAUCUGCCUCAUCACCCGUUCUCUGUUCAAGGUGGUGAUGCCACCCCAGAGAGACUCUAAGAUGCUUAGAUGAGGCCUCGGCUCUGCCUGGAGCGCUGGGCCCCGGGCUCUGCCUGGAGCGCUGGGCCUCAGGAUCUGCCUGGAGCACUGGGCCCCAGGCUCUGCCUGGAGUGCUGCGUCUCAGGAUCUGCCUGGAGCGCUGGGCCCCAGGCAGCCCACACUGGGGCCUCACAUGACCUUUACCUGUACUGCCCCCAGGGAGAGACUUCUGCUUUUCCCAGAAGGUGGCUCCAUGAUUGUUGCAGUAUUUAAGGUUAGAACUGCCGGAAUUAGAUAACAGAAAAUGGCAAAGCUACCUCCUUUCCAGGACCCGUGUGCUUCCCAUGUAGGCUCCUUGCCAGAACCAGGCGUGAAAUGUGGGCAUGGCCUUUCUACUGUGCCCCUGAAGGAUGCAGGCCACAGUGCUAGGCACAGUGUGCCUAGGGCUCCAGGGAACGCGGGUCACCCAGCGACACUGCGCUCUCCCUUCGGAGUUCAGCUCCUCCUGAGUGAACAGUUUCAAAGGCCUAGGAGGGAAACAGAACCAGAUGAGGUGUGAUGCCGCUGAGUAGACUCUCUGAUGUGGAUUCUAAACUGUGUUUCUUCUGUCUCAGAGAAAAGAAUUGUCUCCAUUUUUCUUCUUUGAUCUUACUGCAAUUUUAAACGCUGCUUUAAAGAAACAGGGAAGCCUGGCGUGCUGCAGGACAUGGGGUCGCAGAGUCAGACAAAUGAGCAACAGAACUGAACUUAAAGAAACUAACGUUCCAUGUGGCUGCAGGGUAAAGAAUCCGCCUGCCAGUGCAGAAGAUGCAAGAGGCCCGGGUUUGAUCCCUGGGUCAGGAAGAUCCCCUGGAGAAGGCAGUGGUGACCCACUCCAGCCUUCUUGCCGGAGAAGCCCAUGGACAGAGGAACCCGGUGGGCUGCAGCCCACAGGCUCGUAGAGUCAGACACGAC